rnacentral:misc_RNA from 1 species
AUAAAUAGAGCUUUAUAAUAUUUAUCCCUCUUUUUAUAAAUAAAAUAAAAAUAAAUAUAUUUAUUUCACUUCUAACAAAUAAAUAAUAAUAAUAAUAUUCGAAUAUAACAAAUUAAAUAAACUGGAUGGGACAAAUAAAUAAUUCCCCAUUAGGCAAUUGUGUACGAAUUUUAUUUUAUUGUUUAAAUGGAGAUUCGAAACCUAGUUAUGGAUUUGAAAAAAAUUAAAUCCAAAGGCCAAGUGGAAUAAUUCUAUUUGUGAACAUAGAAAAUAAUAUAAUGCUUCACAUUUUUCCAUUUCCACCUGCUUAGAUAGAGGUCCAGAAAAAAAAAUAUUUUUAUCUAUUUUUAUAUGUCUUAUUUUUACAAAAAAAAAAAAUAGUAAUUGAUUAAUUUUUUUUAUUUUACUUAAAAAUUUGUAUAAAUAUUUAUUAAAUUUAGUAGAGAUAAAGAGUAAAAUAUAGGAUGUUAUAUUAACUCCACUUAACUCAUUUAGAUAAUGAUCACUUGCUGAUAUUUUUAUUUAGGAUUGGAAAAACUAUCCAUUCGUCUUCAAUAAAGUUUUUGUAAAUGACAGGAGGCUGGAGGCCGGCCGGCUGCCAUUUGUUUUCUUAACUUAUUGUUGAACACUUGAACUAGUAUUAUACAUUUUUACCAAAAGAUUCAAAAAAGGAAAAAUUGUUACAGAGAGUCAAGUUUUGCAACUUACC